rnacentral:rRNA from 1 species
GAUGAACCCUGGCGGCGUGCUUAAUACAUGCAAGUCGAACGAAAAGGCCCGGUGUUUUUUGCUUUUCCGGUUGCGGCCGGGGGGUGAAAAGCUUGUUGAUCACCCCCUUAUAUUUCUGGGAUAUCUUCGGGAAACCGGCGCUAAUACCGGAGAAUAUCUUGCACCGCAUGGGUCAAUAGAGAAAUACGGUUUUGGUGUUAGUUAUAGAUGGUUCCGCGCCGCAUUAGCUAGUUUGUAAGGUCACGGCUUUGCAAGGCAACGAUGCGUAGCCGACCUGAGGGGGUGAUCGGCCACACUGGAACUGAGACACGGUCCAGACUCCUACGGGAGGCAGCAGUAGGGAAUCUGCCGCAAAGGGCGAAAGCCUGACGGAGCAACGCCGCGUGAGUGAUGAAGGUCUUCGGAUCGUAAAACUCUGUUAUUAGGGAAGAACAAAUGUGUAAGUAACUAUGCACGUCUUGACGGUACCUAAUCAGAAAGCCACGGCUAACUACGUG